rnacentral:misc_RNA from 1 species
GGGUCAGCUGCUGGUCUUGUUAUUGAUUCUACAAGAUAGUCAUCCACAUUGGACGUAUUUAUAUACACACUCUUUAAUACAGAUUCAAUACGAGCUGGUUUUUUUGUGCUUGCCAAAACAAAAAUCCAAGAACUACACGCUGGAAAAUUUCCUUCAGUGGCUUGAGGACAAAUUUCUGUAAGAUUGAUCCUUCAGACUUGCUGGUUUCUGCAUUUGGGUUUCCAAAUUGUCCAGCAGAAUUUAGUAAUGC